GGCGGACGGGUGAGUAACGCGUAAAGAACUUGCCCUUUAGACUGGGAUAACAGAGGGAAACUUCUGAUAAUACUGGAUAAGUUAGUAUAUCGCAUGAUAUACAAAUGAAAGCUACGGCACUAAAGGAGAGCUUUGCGUCCUAUUAGCUAGUUGGUAAGGUAAGAGCUUACCAAGGCGAUGAUAGGUAGCCGGCCUGAGAGGGUGGACGGCCACAAGGGGGACUGAGAUACGGCCCUUACUCCUACGGGAGGCAGCAGCA
rnacentral:rRNA from 1 species